rnacentral:piRNA from 1 species
UAAAAGAUUUAGGGGCCAAAA